GGAUCGAUGAUGACACCCCACAAACGCAUUCUUGGAAAAUCUGAACAAAAUGAGUGAGAACUCACUACCGUCUCCUCAUCGCAACUGAGGUCC
rnacentral:snoRNA from 1 species